rnacentral:ncRNA from 2 species
AAUACGUUCCGUGGUGAUUUGGGCCGGCCGGCUUGCAGCCACGUUAAAGAAGUUGCUAAAAAGGCCGGGUUGCAAGACCC